CCUUCUUCAAAAUCAGAAUAAGCAUCAGAUGCUAUGCUAGAAUUGAGAAAUCAUGUAUCCCAUGAAUCAUAAGUUGAAGUUUUCAAGUGUGUACAGAUGAUCCUCCUUGUGAUUUUCCACAGCUUUCUUGAACGUCUGUGCCCCUUCAGGAACUAUCAGAUAAUUUUCAUGCAGUUCCAAUAGCACAAAGACAAUUCAAGAAAGCUGUGAAACACCACUGGCAGGAUCUGAAUUGGUCAUAAAAAGAUUCUCAUCUUCCUUCUACAGCUCUCUCUCUCUCUCUGCCCUCCAAUGGUUACUACUUUGCCACUGCAAUUCUGAAAGAAAAUCCUCUUCCUCGCUCUAUAAAAUCUGCAGCAGCUGAGUACUACAGAAAGGGUGUGAAGUCCUUUUGCUGAAGCUCAGGAAACAUGGGAUCUUGUCUUGCCUCCUCUCUCUUCAUAGAUUAUCAUGACCAUGGAAGCUCACACUUGCUUUUUGAUUAAAAUUGGGUUGGAAAUUUUUUAAAAAGCCAAAGCUUUGGGAUUUGUUUUGGAUCUUAUUGUCAAAAUCUCAUUUUUGGGAACAAAGGUGAGUCAAAAGAUAAAGAAAGGAGGGUCUUUUUUUGCCAUCUAUAGACGGCAAUAAAAGGUGAAUGCACAUACAAAUCUUUUGAGAUUUUUGGUUUGUCUCUUUGGCAAAGUUAUGUUCAUUUGUUUUGCUCUACUUUUUGAAUUUGGUCUCUUAUGAAAAAUGGAAAUUUUUAUAUAGACCAUUAACCUCAAUCAUCUCAGUCAUUUGCAUUACAAAUGGAA